rnacentral:rRNA from 1 species
CACGUAGGGCGCAAGCGUUGUCCGGAAUUAUUGGGCGUAAAGAGCGCGUAGGCGGUCCGAUAAGUCGGCUGUGAAAGUCAGGGGCUCAACCCUUGAAAGCCGGCCGAUACUGUCGGACUAGAGUCCGGAAGAGGCAAGUGGAAUUCCUGGUGUAGCGGUGGAAUGCGCAGAUAUCAGGAGGAACACCGGUGGCGAAGGCGGGUCUCUGGGCCGACAUUGACGCUGAGGAGCGAAAGCGUGGGGAGCGAACAGG